UACGUAGGGUGCAAGCGUUGUCCGGAAUUAUUGGGCGUAAAGAGCUCGUAGGCGGUCUGUCGCGUCGGCUGUGAAAACCCGGGGCUCAACCCCGGGCCUGCAGUCGAUACGGGCAGACUAGAGUGCGGUGGGGGAGACUGGAAUUCCUGGUGUAGCGGUGAAAUGCGCAGAUGUCAGGAGGAACACCGGUGGCGAAGGCGGGUCUCUGGGCCGUAACUGACGCUGAGGAGCGAAAGCGUGGGGAGCGAACAGG
rnacentral:rRNA from 1 species